GUAGAACGCUGAAGGAGGAGCUUGCUUCUCCGGAUGAGUUGCGAACGGGUGAGUAACGCGUAGGUAACCUGCCUGGUAGCGGGGGAUAACUAUUGGAAACGAUAGCUAAUACCGCAUAAGAGUAGAUGUUGCAUGACAUUUGCUUAAAAGGUGCAAUUGCAUCACUACCAGAUGGACCUGCGUUGUAUUAGCUAGUUGGUGGGGUAACGGCUCACCAAGGCGACGAUACAUAGCCGACCUGAGAGGGUGAUCGGCCACACUGGGACUGAGACACGGCCCAGACUCCUACGGGAGGCAGCAGUAGGGAAUCUUCGGCAAUGGACGGAAGUCUGACCGAGCAACGCCGCGUGAGUGAAGAAGGUUUUCGGAUCGUAAAGCUCUGUUGUAAGAGAAGAACGAGUGUGAGAGUGGAAAGUUCACACUGUGACGGUAUCUUACCAGAAAGGGACGGCUAACUACGUGCCAGCAGCCGCGGUAAUACGUAGGUCCCGAGCGUUGUCCGGAUUUAUUGGGCGUAAAGCGAGCGCAGGCGGUUAGAUAAGUCUGAAGUUAAAGGCUGUGGCUUAACCAUAGUACGCUUUGGAAACUGUUUAACUUGAGUGCAAGAGGGGAGAGUGGAAUUCCAUGUGUAGCGGUGAAAUGCGUAGAUAUAUGGAGGAACACCGGUGGCGAAAGCGGCUCUCUGGCUUGUAACUGACGCUGAGGCUCGAAAGCGUGGGGAGCAAACAGGAUUAGA
rnacentral:rRNA from 1 species